rnacentral:lncRNA from 1 species
AUCAAAAUUUACCGAUAACCUCAACAGGGGCCCUGUAAAAAUAUGAGCUUUUUUCAAGACAUCUUCAUCCCCCUCCCUCGGUGUAAUAAAUGUACUUUCCCUAAACGCUGUUUUCUGACCAUCAGAAUUCUGUCAAAUAUUGAUCUUCCCCAAAGUCCAGGAAAUGGCAUUUCAGAGACUCUAAAUUUAAAAUUUUCCUCGGGCCUUCGGCCCUCGUUUUCAGCCCCCCAAUCAAAAAGAGCUUCUUACGGCACUGCCUUCGUGGCUUCGUAUGCCAUGAAAGAUUCGGAAAUAUUCUUCGUCAUUCGGAAAUUUUUGCCUGACACCCCCCCCCCCCCCCCCCCCCCCCCCCCCCCCCCCUCCCCCAACUACACAUGCUAGCUACGGCCCUGUACUGGACUAAUUACCUGCGCUGGCAUUCCUGGCAAAGAAACGCACUAGAAAAUGCAAAUACAAAGCCGCUGCAUGAAGAUAUAUGGCAUAUGCAGAUCUCAAUUUUAGAAUGUCAUUCUUGCGCAAAUAUUCAAUUGUAUUCAACUAUAUGCAUGGCAUUGGAUAAAACUUGGAUUAUUGUCGCUUUAUAGUUUUUCUUUAUUCGUACUUUCGUAUGAAAGAAUUAUGAAAGUUAUAUACACGAAUGGUAACAGAAGGAUUCCAGUCCAGAGGCCGCGAGCCAGAGACAUUAAACUACCAGCUUAAUCAGGGUCCGUAUUCAGUUGCCAUACAGUUGAAUACAGUUGUAUGUUUCCGCAAUAUUGAUAUUGUAACCUAGCCAUGUAAAUUGAGUUGGUGCUUUUCAUAUGUUUAUAUUUGAUUAUCAACCUAUCUGACUCAUGUUCAUUAAAGUGCACAUACAGCUAUUCUGAAUUUUACAUAUUUGUAAUAUUCAGUACAUUUUAAGAUAAAAUGCUAUAUAUUUUCUUAGUGAAAAACGUCAUCUUCGUGCUCUUUUUGGCUGUUAAAGUUUCCGGAACUGACGUGACGGAACUGAAGAAACAAUUGAAAACUCAUUUGCAUUACCUUAUUUAAAUGACAUCAGUUCCCGAAACUUUAGCAGCCAAAAAGCCUGACCACGAAGCAGUGGCGUAACUACUAUGGGCUCAGACCGGGAGAACCCGGGGGCCCCAACCACAAUGGGCCAAAAUGGGGGCCCCCAAGCUUAGGCGAUAGAGCAAAAACAUUGGCCAGGGCCUCUCUGAUAUGUUACAAUGUCGUUUUCUGACCAACAGAAUUCUGUAAAAUCUCUCCCCAAAGUCCAGGAAAUGGCAUUUCAGAGAGUCUAGAUUCAAAAAUUUUCCGGAUGAACAUGCCCUGGACCCCCUAGAAAACCUGUGCAUAUACGGCGCUCGACUCGUGACUUUAGCACUUCUACUAGGGGGGCCUUCGAAAAUUUUGAACCGGGGGCCCCCUGAUAUAACGUUACGCCACUGCCACGAAGAUGACGUUUUUCACAAAGAAAAUGUAUUGCAUUUCAUCUUAAAAUGUACUGGAUAUUACAAAUAUGUAAAAUUCAAAAUAGCUGUAUGUGCACUUUAAAGCGUAAAUUUCAAAUAUCGCAGUUUAAUUUAUGCAAAAGCGCAACUGACGUGUGCUGGGGCAAGCUUUUCGCUCAAGUUGCAUAGACUCGAGUUAGAGUCUAUCGCGUAGGCUAAAUUUCAGAGUCUCAAUAAAUUGCAGUUGAACUUCUCGCUGAUACAGUGACACUGGAUACAAAUAUUAUUUGUGUUUCACUUAUUGUACUGGCUUAUUUAUCUUUUGUAUAAAGCAAAAUAAAGAAAGGUACACUUGGGG